rnacentral:rRNA from 1 species
UACGUAGGGUGCGAGCGUUGUCCGGAAUUAUUGGGCGUAAAGAGCUCGUAGGCGGUUUGUUGCGUCGGCUGUGAAAACCUGCGGCUUAACCCCGUGCCUGCUUCCGAUACGGGCAGACUAGAGGUAUGCAGGGGAGAACGGAAUUCCUGGUGUAGCGGUGAAAUGCGCAGAUAUCAGGAGGAACACCGGUGGCGAAGGCGGUUCUCUGGGCAUUACCUGACGCUGAGGAGCGAAAGUGUGGGGAGCGAACAGG